AACGAAUGCUCAUCUCCCGCCGGAACUAAAGCCGAGAGGGGCGUUUCCUCGUCGGGCAGUACUGCAGGAUCUCACGAGCAGUCCAGACGAAUCUCCUCCAGAGAAAGUACUCUGUCCAAGAAGUCGCUAGUCGCUUUUUGAAUAACAGUCGUAAAGGGGUCUUAAAACUCGCUAAAUUGGCAACAUUGGUGUCCUAGUCGUAAUUUGAAACUAUACCCUUUUAUUAGAGAGUACUCUUGCUUUAUUUUGAAAAGAUGGAACCGGAAAUGAUCCCAUUCAAUUUUAUAUUCUACCCUUGAAUAACAAUUUAUGACAACAAUGUAUAGUAUUUAUAUUACGUUACUCUCAGUGAAAAGUAGUAAGGAAAACUGAGCACAUAAUAAUGUGCCUUGUAUGUUGAUCUACGUCCCUGCCCCUUUUCCUACUACCAUUUGUAUUGACGCAAAAAUGGCGGCUCAGACAGCUCGUGGUGUGCCGCUGAGUACGCUUUCUCCCAGGUUUCUUCACAGCAACUCCACCAGCCACACCUGGCCC